rnacentral:rRNA from 1 species
GAUGAACGCUGGCGGCGUGCCUAAUACAUGCCAGUCGAGCGAACAGACGAGGAGCUUGCUCCUCUGACGUUAGCGGCGGACGGGUGAGUAACACGUGGAUAACCUACCUAUAAGACUGGGAUAACUUCGGGAAACCGGAGCUACUACCGGAUAAUAUAUUGAACCGCAUGGUUCAAUAGUGAAAGACGGUUUUGCUGUCACUUAUAGAUGGAUCCGCGCCGCAUUAGCUAGUUGGUAAGGUAACGGCUUACCAAGGCAACGAUGCGUAGCCGACCUGAGAGGGUGAUCGGCCACACUGGAACUGAGACACGGUCCAGACUCCUACGGGAGGCAGCAGUAGGGAAUCUUCCGCAAUGGGCGAAAGCCUGACGGAGCAACGCCGCGUGAGUGAUGAAGGUCUUCGGAUCGUAAAACUCUGUUAUUAGGGAAGAACAAAUGUGUAAGUAACUAUGCACGUCUUGACGGUACCUAAUCAGAAAGCCACGGCUAACUACGUG